rnacentral:rRNA from 1 species
GACGAACGCCGGCGGCGUGCCUAAUACAUGCAAGUCGAGCGCAGGAAGCUGACGGAACUCUUCGGAGGGAAGGCAGUGGAAUGAGCGGCGGGCGGGUGAGUAACACGUAAGGAACCUGCCUCAAGGAUUGGGAUAACUCCGAGAAAUCGGAGCUAAUACCGGAUAGUUCAACGGACCGCAUGGUCCGCUGAUGAAAGGCGCUCCGGCGUCACCUUGAGAUGGCCUUGCGGUGCAUUAGCUAGUUGGUGGGGUAACGGCCCACCAAGGCGACGAUGCAUAGCCGACCUGAGAGGGUGAUCGGCCACACUGGGACUGAGACACGGCCCAGACUCCUACGGGAGGCAGCAGUAGGGAAUCUUCCACAAUGGACGAAAGUCUGAUGGAGCAACGCCGCGUGAGUGAUGAAGGUUUUCGGAUCGUAAAACUCUGUUGUAAGGGAAGAACACGUACGAGAGGGAAUGCUCGUACCUUGACGGUACCUUACGAGAAAGCCACGGCUAACUACGUGCCAGCCGCCGCCGUAAUAC